rnacentral:ncRNA from 1 species
UUAGGAGUGAAAGGCUAAUCAAACUCGGAGAUAGCUGGUUUUCCGCGAAAUCUAUUGAAGUAGAGCAUUUAAAAUCUUUUUUUGGGGUAGAGCACUCAUUGAGCUAGGGGGCGUAAAAACUUACUGAACUCUUAGAAACUCCGAAUACAAAAAAAAGUUAUUUAAAUAGACAGACAUUAGGCGCUAAGGUCUAUUGUCAAGAGGGAAACAGCCCAGAUUGAUCGCUAAGGUCUCUAAAUAAUAUUCUAAGUGAAAAAGGAAGUGAAAAAAUAAUUACAACCAGUAGGUAGGCUUGGAAGCAGCCAUCCUUUAAAGAAAGCGUAAUAGCUCAUUGGUCUAGUUUUUUUGCGCCUAAAAUGUAUCGAGACUUAAGAAAUUUACCGAAGCGGCAAGUUUUAUUUAUAAUAAAACGGUAGCGGAACAUUCUGUAUGUUGAUAAAGAUAUGUUGUAAAAUAUAUUGAAGAUAUCAGAAAAGAAAAUGCUGGCAUUAGUAACAAAAAAUAAUGAAUAAGAAUCAUUAUCACCGUAAAUCCAAGGGUUUCUAUGUUAAAAUGUAUUUCAUAGAGUGAAACGGCCCCUAAGAAAGAUUUGACGAAAGCAAAUUUUGAUGGGAUAAUUUUUAAAUUAAAUUUUUUAAAAAAAGUGACAAAAAGUUUUACUUUUUCAGGAAAUAGCUUUUUUUAAAAAAAACCGUACCCUAAACCGACACAGGUGGAUAGGUCGAGUAGACUAAGGUGGAUGAGAGAAUUAUAUUGAAGGAACUCGGCAAAAUGACUCUGUAACUUCGGGAUAAAGAGUACCUAAAUAUUAUAUUUAGGUGUCACAAAAUAGGGGGUUGCGACUGUUUAAUAAAAACUUAGGACUCUGCUAAAUGGUAACAUGAUGUAUAGGGUCUGACACCUGCCCGGUGCUGGAGAUUAAUAGGAGAUGUUUGCGCAUUGAAUGGAAGUCCCAGUAAACGGCGGCCGUAACUCUGACGGUCCUAAGGUAGCGAAAUUCCUUGUCGGGUAAGUUCCGACCUGCAUGAAUGGUGUAACGACAUCCCCGCUGUCUCCAAUAUAAACUCAGUGAAUUUGAAUUAUCCGUGAAGAUGCGGAUUCUCUAUAGUUAGACGGAAAGACCCCGUGAACCUUUACUACAUCUUUAUAUUGUUAUUUUAUCUAAUAUGUGUAGCAUAAGUGGGAAUCAAUAAGACCUUCACGCUAGUGAAUUGUUUAGAUAACAUUGAAAUACCACUCUUAUUAAAAUAAAUAACUAAUAUUUUUAUAAAUAGACAGUGUAUGGUUGGUAGUUUGACUGGGGCGGUCACCUCCUAAAGAGUAACGGAGGUGUACAAAGGUAAGCUCAAAUUGGAUUAUAUUAUCAAUUGUAGAGCGCAAUGGUAUAAGCUUGCUUGACUGUAAGAUAGACAUAUCAAACAGGGACGAAAGUCGGUCAUAGUGAUCCGAUAAUUCUUUGUGGAAAGAUUAUCGCUCAACGGAUAAAAGGUACUCCGGGGAUAACAGGCUGAUGACUCCUAAGAGCUCCUAUCGACGGAGUCGUUUGGCACCUCGAUGUCGACUCAUCACAUCCUGGAGCUGAAGAAGGUUCCAAGGGUUCGGCUGUUCGCCGAUUAAAGUGGUACGUGAGUUGGGUUUAGAACGUCGUGAGACAGUUUGGUUCCUAUCUUCUAUAGAUAUUUUGAAAAAUGAAAGAAUCUAACUCUAGUACGAGAGGACCGAGAAGGGUAAAUCACUGGUGUAUCGGUUGUUUAAUAGGCAUCGCCGAGUAGCUAAAUUUAUUUUGGAUAAUUACUGAAAGCAUCUAAGUAAGAAACCAUUCUUAAAAAUUUUUCAUAUGAAAACUGUAAAAGACUAUUACAUUGAUAGGUUUUAAGUGUAAGUAUCGUAACGUAUUCAGCUUAAAAAUACUAAAAGUUUCAAAAUUUUAAAUAU